UACAGAGGGGGCAAGGCGUUGUUCGGAAUUACUGGGCGUAAAGGGCGCGUAGGCGGCCUGUUAAGUCGAACUGUGAAAUCCCCGGGCUCAACCCGGGAACUCGGCGUCCGAGUACUGGCAGGCUUGAAUCCGGGAGAGGGAUGCGGAAUUCCAGGGUGUAGCGGAUGAAAUGCGUAGGAUAUCUGGAGGAACACCGGUGGCGG
rnacentral:rRNA from 1 species